UACGUAGGGUGCAAGCGUUAAUCGGAAUUACUGGGCGUAAAGCGUGCGCAGGCGGUUUUGUAAGUCUGACGUGAAAUCCCCGGGCUUAACCUGGGAAUUGCGUUGGAGACUGCAAGGCUAGAAUCUGGCAGAGGGGGGUAGAAUUCCACGUGUAGCAGUGAAAUGCGUAGAGAUGUGGAGGAACACCGAUGGCGAAGGCAGCCCCCUGGGUCAAGAUUGACGCUCAUGCACGAAAGCGUGGGGAGCAAACAGG
rnacentral:rRNA from 1 species